UGAGAAGCAAGCUGGGGCCACCUCACCUGAUGACAUGGUUGAUGACAAUUGGGUCAGGGGGCAAUAGCAGGGCUGUGAGGCGCUGGGGAAUCUCAGAAAACUUCAGCCGGGGACAAUCAAAAAUCUGAAGCAGGACAAUUGGGGAAAGAGAGAUCACUCUUCCUGAAGAGAUCAUCAUGCAGUUGUAGAUCCUUUUGUUCUAGAAAGGCCGCAAGAAGCUGAGAGGAAGUCUGAUUCCUCAGUGUGCAUGGGGAUGGGAUUGGGGUGGGCUGGUCUGGUGGUGGAGCCACCGGUAUGGCUGACAAGGUAGGGGGUGGGUCAUUGUGGGGCAGGGGUUGAGGGUGCGGGCCCUGGGUCAGCCUGCCUAUGUAUCAGUCCUGCCUCUGCCACUUACUAUGCAACCUGGAGCAAGUUAACACCUCAGGGCUCAGUGUCUUCAUCUCUAGAGUGGGGAUGAAAAGAAUACCUAUCUCCCAGGGCUGUCGUGAGAAGUCAGUGAACUAAUAUACAUAAAGUGCUUGGGACAGUGCCUGGCACAUGGUAAGUGCCCAAUAAAUAUCAACUGCUAUUUUUA
rnacentral:antisense_RNA from 1 species